UGGCUCUCGCAUCGAUGAAGAACGCAGCGAAAUGCGAUAAGUAAUGUGAAUUGCAGAAUUCAGUGAAUCAUCGAAUCUUUGAACGCACCUUGCGCUCCAUGGCAUUCCAUGGAGCAUGCCUGUUUGAGUGUCACGUGAAACCAUCACUCUUGUUCCUGUCGCAAGACAGGCCAAGAUGUGGACUUGGACUGUGCCGUAGUCGGCUCGUCUUGAAAUUCAUUAGCCGCUGCUGGUUAGAUUCGGCCACCUGGUGUGAUAUAUGUCUACGCCUGCCGUGUCGUUUCUUCCUGAGCGUGGCUUAUAAUCGUCGCUCGUUUCGACAACUUCAUAACGCUCUGGCCUCAAAUCAGGUAGGACUACCCGCUGA
rnacentral:misc_RNA from 1 species